UUUCUAUCUUAAAUAUAUUUUAAUGUUGGAGAGCAUCUUAAAAAGUCUGAAGUGGUGCAGUCCAUUCUAUCCCCUCUCGGCACUGUACCUCUGGAUCUGCUGCGUGUGUAGACCAGGCCGCAAAUAACUGAGAUAACGAGACCUGCUGCAGGUGGAGUUUUUUCACGUGUCUAGAAAAGGAUCGUUUUUUUCACGAGUUCUAGAAAAGGAUCAUGGCUCAAGGGUGUGAGCAGACGUUCAUGUGUCUGAUAUUCGCUGUGUUUUGGCUACUCGUAUUGUUCUUUAUUGGAUGGCCGUUGAGCAUUUUUGUAGGAGGACUGUACGGACUACUCGCUCCUAUCACUACCAUUUUAGGACUAGAUGACGUCUCUGAAGCAAUGUUGGUUGGAGUAAACGUGGGGAGAACAUGUGCUAAGAAUGCCCGUGAGGGAAAGAAGCUCUGUUAAUAACGAAGACUACCACAGUAAUCCACAAAGCAUUCUUCUGUGUCCUGCACUGGUUUUUACAGCUGUUUGAUUUAGCAAAAGUGUUCCCGUUUCUAAUAGUUAUUCAUUUGUUAGAUUUACAAAAUGAUUUACAUUUGGCAUUCGGUGAAAAGUAAAUGUUGACUUUUAUUGGAAAAUUUUAUGUCACUUUAUUUUGUAAGCUAAUGUACUGAAUUAGAGCUAUAUAUAUUCCAGAUUUCAGUCAGAUCUGGGUUAGAUUAGAAGAUAAAAUUCUCGAGCCUUGAGGAUUCAGGAACUCAGACACAAACAUAUUUGUAGUAUCCACAACUCAUAUUUAUCUAAUCCAGACCCUUACUCAGACAGAGAAAUAGUGAUGAAAUUUGAAAGCCUGUGAUAGGGAACAUUGGUUUUCUAGCUUUUGCUUUGUCACAUCAAGUUCAGAGCUGAGUCACUCAUUGGACUGCUUCAGACAUCAUGCGGACAGAAGAUUAAACCUUGGCUUCAUGUGACUUCCCUAAGCCUUGGAAGCAUGGACUCCCCUUCUCUCUACUUCUGAUUGUGGUGAGAAAGAAGCCAGGAUCACUCAUGAUGUCCAAACGGACCAAUCCCGGCUUAAUUCUAUCCAAAAUUGCAAAAUAAAACAAAAUAAAGCUUCAGACAAGUUUGAAGUUAGGUUCAGAUGAUGAUUUAUUUUGCAACUUUGGAUAGAAUUAAGCUGAGAUUGAUCAAUUCAGAUUUCAUAAACAAUCCUGGUUUCUUUCUAAACACAAUUGGAAACAGGCUUGUGCGGGUGAGGAGCACACACCUGAAGCUUGGGGAAGUCACACAAAUCCAAAGUAUGAUAUUGGCUUUGUGUGAUAUCUGAAGUCACCUGUUGAAGCCAAUAUUUCAUUGCUACAUCGUUCCUAAUGUCUAAAUGUAUCUGUAUUAAUUACAAUUCUGUUUAAUUAACGUUAUUGUUUUAUUGAGAAUGUGCUUUAAAAGCAUCCCCUUUGUAUGAGUUAUGUAUAAAUAUUGUUGUUGGAAAAUGUUUAUGCAUUGCUAUAAUAAAUAGAUAUGAAAGCAACUUCA